rnacentral:rRNA from 2 species
UCUGGUGUCAGCCGCCGCGGUAAAACCAGCACCUCGAGUGGUCAGGAUGAUUAUUGGGCCUAAAGCAUCCGUAGCCGGCUCUGUAAGUUUUCGGUUAAAUCUGUACGCUCAACGUACAGGCUGCCGGGAAUACUGCAGAGCUAGGGAGUGGGAGAGGUAGACGGUACUCGGUAGGAAGGGGUAAAAUCCUUUGAUCUAUUGAUGACCACCUGUGGCGAAGGCGGUCUACCAGAACACGUCCGACGGUGAGGGAUGAAAGCUGGGGGAGCAAACCGGAUUAGAUACCCGGGUAGUCCCAGCUGUAAACUAUGCAAACUCAGUGAUGCAUUGACUUGUGGUCAACGCAGUGCUGCAGGGAAGCCGUUAAGUUUGCCGCCUGGGAAGUACGUACGCAAGUAUGAAACUUAAAGGAAUUGGCGGGGGAGCACCACAAGGGGUGAAGCCUGCGGUUCAAUUGGAGUCAACGCCAGAAAUCUUACCCGGAGAGACAGCAGAAUGAAGGUCAAGCUGAAGACUUUACCAGACAAGCU